rnacentral:tRNA from 1 species
GCGCCCGUAACUCAACUGGAUAGAGUAUUCGGCUUCUACCCGAACUGUUGCAGGUUCGAGUCCUGCCGGGCGCA